rnacentral:rRNA from 1 species
AUGAACGCUGGCGGCGUGCCUAAUACAUGCCAGUCGAGCGAACAGAUGAGGAGCUUGCUCCUCUGACGUUAGCGGCGGACGGGUGAGUAACACGUGGAUAACCUACCUAUAAGACUGGGAUAACUUCGGGAAACCGGAGCUAAUACCGGAUAAUAUAUUGAACCGCGUGGUUCAAUAGUGAAAGACGGUUUUGCUGUCACUUAUAGAUGGAUCCGCGCCGCAUUAGCUAGUUGGUAAGGUAACGGCUUACCAAGGCGACGAUGCGUAGCCGACCUGAGAGGGUGAUCGGCCACACUGGAACUGAGACACGGUCCAGACUCCUACGGGAGGCAGCAGUAGGGAAUCUUCCGCAAUGGGCGAAAGCCUGACGGAGCAACGCCGCGUGAGUGAUGAAGGUCUUCGGAUCGUAAAACUCUGUUAUUAGGGAAGAACAAAUGUGUAAGUAACUAUGCACGUCUUGACGGUACCUAAUCAGAAAGCCACGGCUAACUACGUG